ACCCCACUAUUAGCCUUAAAAGAUAAAUUCUAAGCANUACAGCUCCAAAGCUAAAACUUAAAUAACAUGGCAGCGAGCCUAAAUUUCAGAGGAACCUACCAGAUAAAUGAUAACCCGCAAUAAAUUCUUACUUUAGCUAAAAGUUUAUAUGUCGCCGUCUAGUAAUCUUUUCUGAAGGUUACAAAAAGUAUACAUACAGUAAGACAGGUCAUGUCAUAGCACAUGCUGGAGACAUAAGGUGGGUUACAAUAAGAAGUUCUUUCGGAUACUAAGACAAGACAAGUUUUAAGGUGGAUUUGAAAGUAAUAAUUAAAAUAAAUAUUUUGUGAAUUUUUCUAGGCUCGUGUACACACCG
rnacentral:rRNA from 1 species